rnacentral:rRNA from 1 species
CUCGAUAAUCCACGACUGCCCACCCUUCUCUAGAACUCAGCUUGUGUACUGCCGUUGCAAGCACACCUUUAAAAGAAAUAAGUGUGCAAUAAUGAACAAUAAAUAACCAUUGAACCAUAGACAUCAGGUCAAAGUGCAGCCCAUGAGAAGGAGACGAUGGGUUACAACCCCGAAAAGGAUACAAAACAAAGAACUAAAUACUCUGCGAAGCUGGACUUGAUUGUAAUUUAUUACACAUACUUAAAUGAACACCAUAUCUAAGACAUGUACACAUCGCCCGUCACUCUACCCAAAAGGGUAGAUAAGUCGUAACAAAGUAGGCGUAAUGGAAAUUGCGCCUGUCGAAGUAUAGCAUAUAAAAUGCCUUUUACUUACACUAAAAAUAAAGUUAACUAACUUACUUCGCAAUACAAAACAUAUCUUAACAACAGGCCCAAAUAAAAACACUCACACCAUCAACAAACCAAAGAAGUACAGAAAUGGAAACAAACAAUAAACAAAAGUAAGAAUUAAAAACUGUACCUUGUGCAUCAUGGUUUUACAAGUAAGCCUUUUACAAAAAUAGUCCCGAAUUCUCAAACGAGCUGUCAUCAUACUGCUAAGAACCCACUAAUAACUGUAGAACAAGUUUUAAGAGAUAUUAUGACAGAGGCUACAUACCACCCGCGCGAGAAUAUAGCUGGUUCUCAAUAAACAUUAUAUAUUAAAGCAUGUAAAACGAUUACAAUGUUAAACUGCCGAGGACAAGCUCGACAAUAAAAGCAAUUUAACCCACAAACUACCACAUCUACCCUAUAGGCCUAAAAACAGCCAAAAACAGUACUUUACCGUAAAACAAAAAGAAACAAUUAAUACAAAUAUUAUGCAACAAAUAAUUGAGAUAAGCACCAAACAAAUUAAUGCUAUAUAUUAUGUAAAAAUAAGUAUUAUAAAUCAAACAAAUUAAAAACUAAACAAAAUAUACUAUUAAAACAACAAUCACUGAUUAAGGAACUCGGCAAAUACUUAUUUCGACUGUUUAACAAAAACAUUGCCUUAUGUCAAACCUAUAUAAGGUA